AAAGUAUUUAUCACUUUUUUUUUUUUAUGGGCAUGGACUUAUAAAGACAAAGCACGUAUAAGAAAUAUAUUAAACACAAAAUACGAUAGAUUGUUAGCUCAAUAUGAUAUCUCUCCAGACGACUGUUUUAAUUAUUCUACAGUAGAUUAUACUAAUAAUAAAACAUGUGAUGACUGUGGUAAAAA